UGAGAUGGCCAGACAAUCGCACUGAAUGUAUUUUUGGUGAGGAAAGUCCGGGCUCCAUAGGGCGAGGUGCCAGGUAACGCCUGGGGGACGCGAGUCCACGGCAAGUGCAACAGAAAGGAUACCGCCCGGUUUUAAUUGCUCAGCAAUUGAGUCGGGUAAGGGUGAAAUGGUGCGGUAAGAGCGCACCGCGCGGCUGGUAACAGCAACGGCAAGGUAAACCCCACCUGGAGCAAGACCAAAUAGGGGAACAAGUGCUUCGGCAUGUCAUGCGGCCCGCAUGGUUCCCGGGUAGGUUGCUUGAGGCAGAUGGCGACAUCUGUCCCAGAUGAAUGAUUGUCCACGACAGAACCCGGCUUAUGGCCAUCUCAACUU
rnacentral:RNase_P_RNA from 1 species